GCGGAAUUAAUUAGAUUUAUUGUGGAUCGCGUUCGCAAGAUUCCGAGAACUAGACUAUUGGGGAUUCAAAAUGGGAGGGCGACUAGAAGAAUUAUGGCCCAAAUUAUCUUAGAUUAGGGUUAUUUAAGUUGAAUUGAUUAUUAUGGACAUUUAUCAUGAUUAUUGGACUUUGCAAGGUUUUGUCAUUUUAA